rnacentral:rRNA from 1 species
GACGAACGCUGGCGGCGUGCUUAACACAUGCAAGUCGAACGGAAAGGCCCUGCUUUUGCGGGGUGCUCGAGUGGCGAACGGGUGAGUAACACGUGAGUAACCUGCCCUUGACUUUGGGAUAACUUCAGGAAACUGGGGCUAAUACCGGAUAGGAGCUCCUGCUGCAUGGUGGGGGCUGGAAAGUUUCGGCGGUUGGGGAUGGACUCGCGGCUUAUCAGCUUGUUGGUGGGGUAGUGGCUUACCAAGGCUUUGACGGGUAGCCGGCCUGAGAGGGUGACCGGCCACAUUGGGACUGAGAUACGGCCCAGACUCCUACGGGAGGCAGCAGUGGGGAAUAUUGCACAAUGGGCGGAAGCCUGAUGCAGCAACGCCGCGUGCGGGAUGACGGCCUUCGGGUUGUAAACCGCUUUCGCCUGUGACGAAGCGUGAGUGACGGUAAUGGGUAAAGAAGCACCGGCUAACUACGUG